rnacentral:rRNA from 1 species
AUUGAACGCUGGCGGCAUGCCUUACACAUGCAAGUCGAACGGUAACAGGCCGCAAGGUGCUGACGAGUGGCGAACGGGUGAGUAAUGCAUCGGAACGUGCCCAGUCGUGGGGGAUAACUGCUCGAAAGAGCAGCUAAUACCGCAUACGACCUGAGGGUGAAAGCGGGGGACCGGAAGGCCUCGCGCGAUUGGAGCGGCCGAUGUCAGAUUAGCUAGUUGGUGGGGUAAAGGCCUACCAAGGCAACGAUCUGGAGUUGGUCUGAGAGGACGACCAGCCACACUGGGACUGAGACACGGCCCAGACUCCUACGGGAGGCAGCAGUGGGGAAUUUUGGACAAUGGGCGCAAGCCUGAUCCAGCAAUGCCGCGUGCAGGAAGAAGGCCUUCGGGUUGUAAACUGCUUUUGUCAGGGAAGAAAUCCUCUGGGUUAAUACCUCGGGGGGAUGACGGUACCUGAAGAAUAAGCACCGGCUAACUACGUGCCAGCCGCCGCUGUAACAC